ACUUUCCUUUUAUUUUCGCCGCCACGCCACGCGCACCUCGGCCAAGCACAAGGCUCCGGUUGCCGCCACCGCCUCUGCCCCAGCUAGAAAGGCGCGCCCUUUGGCCGCUCCGCUCCCCUCCUCCUCCUCCACGCCGCGCCUCUCGCCUCCUCGCCGCGCUCUACCCGGUCCGAGCCCCCUCCUCUUCGUCCGGGCGGCGCCUCUCUCCUCUGACCUCCCCGCCGCGCUCCGGCCGGUCCGCUGCUCCUCUACCCUUCGUUCAGGCCGUGCGUAUGUCCUCCUCGAGCCGGAUUUCAUCUUGCUCGUCCUCCCCGGUCGAUUUACCCGUCUAGAAUCGGGUCCGGAUUUGUUCUGCUCGUCCUCGCCGUCGCCGCCGCCGCCUGAUUUGAUUUUGCUCCAUCUCGCCUCUUCCGUUUAGGACCGCGCCCGAUUUGAUUUUUCUCGUCCUCAGUUCAUCGGUUUAGAAACGCUCUCGACUCCCGAGUUGAUUUUGCUCGUCCCCGCCGCCGUCGGUUUAGAGUCGCUUCUGCUUUGGUUCUGCUCGUCCUCGCCGUCGUCCGUUUUCGUUUUUGCUCGUCCUCGCCGCUGCCCUGACGAGCCCACGUGUUCUUGGUCCGUCUCGUCGAGGGUCUCCCGUCUGGUUUGCGAUUGGGAAAUUUCUGCGUGUGCGCUUCUGUUAUCUGAGAGACACUCUGGAUCCCGCGUUUCGUGUUCGUGUUUGCAGGAACGAUCGGGUCUUGGUUUUGAAAUUGGGUUCCGGCCCCUACGGAGAUGGAGAGACGGAGAGCAGUUGUCAGUUUCUCGUGCUAGUUCAGAUCGGUUCCUAGGCUCCUGCGUUGUUCGUCGGUUGUUGUCUGAUCUCAAACGGCUAGCUUGUUCAUGUUAGCCUAGAUACUCUGGUUCCUAUGUCGAUUCUGAUUGUACCAGCUAGCUUGUUUCACUUUCGUCAGGCUAGAUGCAGGGGUGAUUUUGUUCUGAUGGGUGUUAAUUUCUGUUCUUUUCAAUUCAAUUGGUUGGUUACUUCCUAUCAUGCUCUGUUUAUGUUCCCAUAUAUGCUCAUGUGUGUUCAGGGGUGCAAACCAUGUAGGCCGUGGGUGCCAUUUCUAGCAGGCAGAGUAGAAAUUUUUAAAAGAGUGCAAAUCAUGUGGCUUGCUGAUUGACUAAUUGAACACCUGCUGUUGCUACUGUUUGACAAGGUUUCCUGCUUUUCUUCCUUGUGUUGCUAUUUACAUUUUCAUAUAGGAGUACUAGAUGAGGUGCCUUAGACUUUGUUCUAGAUUGCAUAGCAUAACUCUAGAAUUUUGUCAUUGCACACCUGUCAUGGCAUAUGAUUCUCCUAUGAGCAUAACUCCAGAGUUUAUUUAUCUGUGAAAGCACGUUUAUCACAUGUUUUUUAUCAAUGCUGCUCACUUUUGUCAUGUCCCUUUUGCUUGUCCUGUUAAAUUCUAUGGAGCAAAUUUUGUACUCACUGGUUAAAAUAUCAAGAAUGAUGACUUCUGUAUUUGUCGCUAUGUAAGUCAUGCACUUCGGAAACCUGGGCGUGAUUAGGAUUUGGAUUGCAUAUAGACUUUAUGUUAUGUUUGUAAUUUUGUACUCACUGGUUAAAAUAUCAAGAAUGCUGACUUCUGUAUUUGUCGCUAUGUAAGUCAUGCACUUCGGAAACCUGGGCGUGAUUAGGAUUUGGAUUGCAUAUAGACUUUAUGCUAUGUUUGUUUAUAACCUGGUUGUGACCUAAUAUAGUGUAAAUCAGCUAAUUUUUUAAUUUAAUUCAUGUUCAACGCAAGUAGGUUUUGUUCGUAAGUCGUAUUUCUUUUGCGUGUGCAUGAACAUUCACGCUGUCAAUUUUUAUUAUCAUAAUCAUUUACCGUGGUGUUUGACAGUACAUUUCUAUCGUUCUUUGUUCCCUUUUGAGGUUCACUGACUCAAUUAUGCAUGAGAUAUGAUAUCAAUUACUGCUGUCCAGUCACUGAAAUAAUGCUUUUCUUGCUUUGCCUAGACUUUGUGACAAGAAUAAGCAUGCGUCUCUGUGCCUACAAACUUGCGUGUAGUGAUGAUGAUCUAACUAGCUUCCUGUUUUCAGGAAUGAAGAUCUGAAUUACCCUCACCCCUCUAAAGAAAUCAGUUUACUCAUUCAGUUUCUGGAACUUCUUCAUAGCUUUCUGAGUUUACUUCGGCCUUGCAUGUAUUAGCUCUGUUUGUACCCUUAUCUAUGUCUGUUUCUUUGUGUGUUACUUGUGUGCAAGUGAUCCAUUAUGUGUGUCUGACUGUGUGUGUGAUGUGCCCCUAUCUAUGUAUGUUUCUUUGUCUGUUUCAUGUGUGCAAGUGCUCCAUUAUCUGUGUGUGACUGUGUUUGACUGCUUGGAUGGGGUGAUUCUGAUUGUGUGUUUCUUGUGUGCAAGCGAUCCAUUAUGUGUGUCUGACUGUGUGUGUGAUGUGCCCCUAUCUAUGUAUGUUUCUUUGUCUGUUUCAUAUGUGCAAGUGCUCCAUUAUCUGUGUGUGACUGUGUUUGACUGCUUGGAUGGGGUGAUUCUGAUUGUGUGUUUCUUGUGUGCAAGCGAUCCAUUAUGUGUGUCUGACUGUGUGUGUGAUGUGCCCCUAUCUAUGUAUGUUUCUUUGUCUGUUUCAUGUGUGCAAGUGCUCCAUUAUCUGUGUGUGGCUGUGUUUGACUGCUUGGAUGGGGUGAUUCUGAUUGUGUUACUGCUUAUAUGGUCUGUCCAAUUGGUUUCUUAUUCAUGCUUUGCUUGUGUUCCAAUGGCGUCUCCCCAUAUAUGGGGAUGUGUUCAGGGAUACAAACCAUUUAGGCCAUUUCGAGUAGGCAGGGAUCCAGAGAUGUGCGCUGGUCAGGCUUCUCUCCUGCUGAUAGAUGAUGAUAGGCUAAGAAGAAAAGUUUGACUCUUGUAACACUCACUUGCUUGGCUUCCAGUCCUUUGUGUGGCCGAUUUGUCAUCCAAUGCAUCUCAUGCCUAUCUUAUAUAUCUCACUCAUCACAGCAUCCUUUUCCCUGUUUUUGUUCCUUUUUUUCUUAUCAUAAUAAUCAUGUAUACCGUGGUGUUUGACAAUACAUUGUUGUGAUAUUUGUGUUUCGUUAUGUCUUAUAUGGAUAUCAUAUUCUUUUUUUGUAUUACUGCUGUCCAUUCACUGGAAUAAUUCUUUUCUAAGUAUUUCAGGUAGGAUAUUAGACAAAUGUCACAUUUGCUCUUCCUUGUGUUGCUAAGGACACUGAUGGGUGGGGUUCGCUUACAGCGCAGGACCGAUAAUUCUGAUAGUAUGCCAAGGACUGCUCAGGAUUCCUAUCGCUUUCUGUUUUACCAACUAAGGUAAUCGAAUUUUGAUCUUCAGCUUGCAGAUUUAUCACCUUAUGGGAGGGAAAGGUUUGCAUGUAUAUGAGCUCUGAUUAUCUACAUAUAUACUUGAAUUGCUUUGGAUUUGGUGGACUGCUAUUCUACAUGAUGUUCUCCAUGAUUCACUUGAUCUAUUAAUUUGAGUAUUUUCCUGGUGAGUUCUUUAGGUUCAUCUUAUGACACGAAAUACAAUUUUGGUACAUGCAGACUCUGAAAUUUGGUGACAAAGAAAAGGUACCUCCUAAUUUGUUCUCUGGCUCUCUUACACUUGUCUUUGUUUAUAUAACAGUAGUGGCCUCCUGGCUUGUAGUUGGGUAGUGCAGAGAGAGGUUUGGAAUUGAAGAACUAAAAUAAUGCAGAGUUGAAGGUUUUGAACGGGAAGCUUGAACAAAGAGUUUACUUUUUCUCAUGUCUUUGAUUAGUUUCAUCCUAUCUAUGUCUGUUUCUUGUGUGCAAGCACUCCAUUGUGUCUGUGUGACUGUGUGUGACUGACUGUUUGUGUGUGUGACUGAUUGUGUGUGUUUCUUUGUCUGUUUCUUGUGUGCAAGCGCUCCAUUGUGUGUGUGUGUUGACAGUGUCUGUGUGUCAUUUUAUGACUGUGACUGUGUAUUGAUGUGACCCUAUGUGUGUGUGUGUGUGUGUUGAUUGUGACCGUGUGUUUCUUUGUCUGUUUCUUGUGUACAAGCGCUCCAUUGUGUGUGUGUGUUGACUGUGUCUAUGUGUCAUUUUAUGACUGUGACUGUGUAUUGAUGUGACUGUGUGUGUGUGGUGUUGAUUGUGACUGUAUGUCAUUGUGCAAGCGCUCCAUAACUACAUAUUGGCACCUGAUAAUGCAUGGAAAUUUCUAUAAGGUCAUGGGCAUGUAAUUUUAUGACCUACAUACCUCUGUAGUUGGUAGUAUCAUUGCCCUUUGGACACUCUUCAAUGCAUUGUUGUAUAUUUUCCUGCCACAAGUAUGAUGUUUGUGCUCAGAAUGAUGUAUAUGUAGAAUCCAGGGUGGAUGGAGGUUUUCAUGAUGGCUAAUUUGAUUUGUUAUAUGGUUCUGAUGGUGUGCUUCUUGUGUUUGAACUGAAGCCGUGGAUCACUCAUCAACCUGGUCUGUGUUUGUAUGGUAACCCCUCUCGAAUUUAACUCCCUUCAAGUUUGUACACAAUAUUUAUGCAUAUCCCACAUUUUAGCUAGUUAUAUAGUAAUACCAUGCUUCUUUGGACGUUGUUCUAUAUAUGAAAGUGUGGUGAGCUCACAUAUUGUGUCAGUAUCUACCUACGCAGCUGAAUUAUUUCCGGAUAGGACAGAGGUGCAAUGUUUACAUCCAUGGUAGAAGGUUCUUUAACACUGAACUCAUCAAAUUUCCUUGGACUCAAGAGGAAGAUGACAAAAUUAUUGACCUUGUAAACAAGUAUGGACUAGCAAAAUGGUCGCAUUGCAAGGUCAGCUACCAGAACUUCCUGCUAUUGAUCCUAGGAUGUUUCCGAACGUGCUCCCGAACAUGUUCAAUUUAUCUGCUCUAGGACAGCCACUGCCAUGGCACAGUAGGUUACUCGGCAUUCUCGGCGUGUUUACUUUGGUGGACUUCCUCGAUCGCUAAUGAACAGACAGUUGCUCUAUUCUUCAAUCAAGUUGUGGCUGCUAUAUGGGGAAACACAUUUGGUCUAGGUGCAUCUGAAUCCAAACAUAUGGAAUGAUGCUUGGACUACUGAGGAGGAACAUGCACUGAUUAAUGCCAUCAGGUAUAUGGGAAUAAAUGAGCAGAAAUAGCAAAAGUUAUUCCUGGAAGGUACUGCAUGCCAAACAACUUAUAUUAUGGUCUUGCUUGUAGUAUUAGCUUUCUGUUUGUGCCCCUCUUGUGUGUGUGACUGACUGUGUGUGACUGUGACUGUAUGUGUGACUGACUCUGUGUGAUUGUUACUAUGUGUGUGUGACUGAAUCUGUGUGUGACUGACUCUGUGUGUGUGUUUGAAUUAAUAUUGCAUUUGCUUGAUGGUGUGUGUUGUAUGCUUUGCUUGAUGGUGUGAUCUGAAUGCUUUGCUAGAAUGAUUGGUGUUGUUUGUUUUGUUUGU